UCUGAAUUUGACUUCAAGUUGGCAACCAUUUUAUCAAACGAGCCCUCUCCACUGAAGAUCCUAAAAGGCUGUUCAUUGGUGUUUUGAAUCGUGAGAUUACCAGCUUCGUCUCUAGCAGCCUACAGUACAGACAAGGACACAGACACAUCAACUUAUAUUAGCUUGCACAGCCACUCUUACAUGAUCCACAAUAUAAAGAAUAAACACAUGGGGGCUUCCUUUACCUCGCCAAUAAUAGUUAAGGAGGUACCAGUAUCGAGAGAAGCCCGAAAAAUCGUCUAGAGAUGAAAACAAUCACACUGUUGGUUCCAACCCAAUGAAAAAGACUAAAAUAAACAGAGAAAGACAAAAAAAAAAUGAAAGAGAAAAGGUAACCUGAGAGCCUUGUUUAGGUUCUACAAUACUACCAAAGAUUUCACUUAGUGACAUAUCCAAAUGCGGUGUCAGAGUAUCAAGAAAGUCAUCAGCAGCUUCAGCUCCCACUACUUUCACCACACCAGUACUGUCUUCCUAAAUAGUUGAUUGAGCGAGCGAGAGAAAGAGGUAGGCUUCAAGUCAUGAGGGGCAGGCAAGACAUAGCAAAAAAAAAAAUGAAGGUAUUUGAGAAUGUAACUUACAAGAUACCAAGGACAACGCUUUACUUGAAACAGAAAAUUAUGAGACUUUGUUAUCCAAGCGCUACCAUCAUCCCCCAACUCGGUCUCAGUACACCCCAUUUCGGCCUGAAAGACACAGUAUACAUGUUGUUCUAACUAAAAAUAACACCACCAGACCAGAGAACGAUGAUGCUGACGACAACUUUUUAGAAGAUAAAAGAAGUCUUUUACCUUAGCAUAAAAAACAGCACCCAAAGGAGUGCAGAAGCAACUUUUCCCGACACAACAACAAGGAGCUUCGAGGCUUUCUCUUUAAGCAGCUCAUCUAAGAGAAGGAAAAAAACAUGAUGAUCACUUGUAAUCAGAAACCAAUUAAUAAAAUAAUAAUAACAAGAGUCUUAACUAUAAAACAGAAAACACACCUAACCGUUUGAAGUCCACCACACGUGUGAUACUGCUAAAAGAGUCAGCUUUCCUGCACCAUCGCAGGAACACAAACACACAUAUCGAUUGAUAAAAGGUGUUUCAACACAUUCAAAAUCCAAAAGGGUUGGGAAGAGGAAAAGACUAACGCUUUAAUCCUCCGGCCCCAAAGGUAACAUGCUGUGGCACCACAUGACAAAUAAAAAGCAAUCUGAAGCAUCUGAAAAAACAAAUCAAACAAGUUUGAUGUUAAGACACAAAUUCUCUUCUCGAC